rnacentral:piRNA from 1 species
UGACUCAGCUUGCGAGUGUU